GUGUAAAUUACUGUCAUUCAAUGUCUCCACGCUCCACACGGAGAUGCUGAAAACUCCCCACAGAGAUGCAUUGAUUCAAUGCAUCUCUAUUAUAAGAUGCUGAUUUGCGCUGCAUGUGCUUCAGCCUCCCAAUGAUUUAGUAUGGUGAAGCAAUGGAUUGGCUGAAAUGGUCAAAAUUGAUAAUUUUAGCCAUGGAGGCGGGGGCAGCUGCGGAGAGAAAGGUAUGUUUACCAUACUUUAACU